CUUCUUUUUCUAAAAUAUUAAAAACAUAACCGACCAUCCCUAGCGCAAGUGGCAAAAGGGCUUGGUAGUUGGUACCCGAGACCCAGCUUCGAAUUCUAGUUGAUUCACAUUUCGAGCUAAAGUUUAUUUCUAAAUAAAAUAAACGAAACGGGUAGCGUGCUACCUAUCUCUCAAAAAAAAAAUAAAAAUAAAAACAUAACUGACCGUCCCUAGAGCAAGUGGCAAAGGGCUUGAUGGUUGGUACCCGAGAACCAAGUUCGAACCUAGUUGAUUCACAUUUCCAGCUAAGUUUAUUUCUAAAUAAAAUAAACGAAGCGGGUAGCAUGCUACUUAUCUCAAAAAAAAAAAAAAAUUAAAAACAUAAC
rnacentral:lncRNA from 1 species